rnacentral:rRNA from 1 species
CACGUAGGGGGCGAGCGUUGUCCGGAUUCAUUGGGCGUAAAGCGCGCGCAGGCGGCUCGGAAAGUCGGGUGUGAAAACUCGGGGCUCAACCCCGGGCGUGCAUCCGAUACUGCCGGGCUUGAGGCAGGUAGGGGAGAUCGGAAUUCCUGGUGUAGCGGUGAAAUGACGCAGAUAUCAGGAGGAACACCGGUGGCGAAGGCGGAUCUCUGGGCCUGUCCUGACGCUGAGGCGCGAAAGCUAGGGGAGCAAACAGG